GACGAACGCUGGCGGCGUGCCUAAUACAUGCAAGUAGAACGCUGAAGGAGGAGCUUGCUCUUCUGGAUGAGUUGCGAACGGGUGAGUAACGCGUAGGUAACCUGCCUGGUAGCGGGGGAUAACUAUUGGAAACGAUAGCUAAUACCGCAUAACAGUAGAUGUUGCAUGACAUUUACUUAAAAGGUGCAAUUGCAUCACUACCAGAUGGACCUGCGUUGUAUUAGCUAGUUGGUGGGGUAACGGCUCACCAAGGCGACGAUACAUAGCCGACCUGAGAGGGUGAUCGGCCACACUGGGACUGAGACACGGCCCAGACUCCUACGGGAGGCAGCAGUAGGGAAUCUUCGGCAAUGGACGGAAGUCUGACCGAGCAACGCCGCGUGAGUGAAGAAGGUUUUCGGAUCGUAAAGCUCUGUUGUAAGAGAAGAACGAGUGUGAGAGUGGAAAGUUCACUCUGUGACGGUAUCUUACCAGAAAGGGACGGCUAACUACGUG
rnacentral:rRNA from 1 species